rnacentral:rRNA from 1 species
AUUGAACGCUGGCGGCAUGCCUUACACAUGCAAGUCGAACGGCAGCACGGGAGCAAUCCUGGUGGCGAGUGGCGAACGGGUGAGUAAUAUAUCGGAACGUGCCCAGUAGUGGGGGAUAACUGCUCGAAAGAGCAGCUAAUACCGCAGACGACCUGAGGGUGAAAGGGGGGGAUCGCAAGACCUCUCGCUAUUGGAGAGGACGAUAUCAGAUUAGCUAGUUGGUGGGGUAAAGGCCUACCAAGGCAACGAUCUGUAGUUGGUCUGAGAGGACGACCAGCCACACUGGGACUGAGACACGGCCCAGACUCCUACGGGAGGCAGCAGUGGGGAAUUUUGGACAAUGGGCGCAAGCCUGAUCCAGCAAUGCCGCGUGCAGGAAGAAGGCCUUCGGGUUGUAAACUGCUUUUGUCAGGGAAGAAAUCCUCUAGGUUAAUACCCUUGGGGGGAUGACGGUACCUGAAGAAUAAGCACCGGCUAACUACGUGCCAGCAGCCGCAGUAAAAC